UAAGUUGAUUCAAUUUUGGCAAUUUUACAUUCAAGCAGCUUUACCAGCAACAUAUUUUGAGUAAUCAAACUGGAAAAACCUCAAAAUAAUACUGUCUACUUUAUUCAGACCAUUUGCAAGCAAAAUUUUUAUCAUAUAAAAAUGGCAAAAAUGUGAUGGAAUUUUUUUGAAGAUCCUAUUAGAUAUAUUAUAUGGAAGACUUACCCACUCGUGUUUUUAUUUUAUAGGUUUUCUAGUACCUUAUGUAUUUUUUUAGUUGUUUCCUACAAUGUUAGAUUAGUUAAAACCUGAUACAGAAGGAUCCGAGUCGAGUGAUGUUGAUUUGUCAGAUAACACGAUGAUGGCGCUGAGAUACCAUGAGAUGGCAGAUCGGCGCAAAGAUGGAAAGUGAAUCCCUAUUAUUUCCUAAAUUGGGGGAAUUUGACGCGUCUUUGGUAAUUUGACCAUAACUUUGGCUACGUUUAUCGGAAUCGCUAUUAUGACCCCAGUCCGGAAAGCUCUCUUUGGCGCGCACAUUGUGGCCACCCAAAUAUGCUCGGUGGACGUCAAUUUCGAGCCCAAAAUCCACUGUUUUCCUUUCCAAAAUUCAAUUUUAAGUUAUUUUUUAUUAUUUAUGGUAAUAUUUCGUUUCCUUUUUUCCAUAUGUUAGAAAACUCGAAUUGAUCCAAAUUUUUGGCCACUUACUUCUUUUACUUAAUAUUUUAUUUUGGUAUAAUUUUGGGAUUUUGCCAUUUUUGGUAAUUUUCCCAUAAUCGUAUUUCGCAGCUAUUUAACCCGACUUGUGAGUUAGUUUUGAUCAUGUUGCAUUAUUAAUAAUAUUGAGUUGAAUUCAGAGUAUUAUCUCUGGUUUUUUGGGCGUUUUCUGUCGUUCUUUUCUUGCGAAUCAUCUGCUACAACAAGCCAAUAGGAUAAUCAUUAUCCUACCCGGCGUCAGUUGGUAUCAGAGCGUCAGCAUCUUCUUGGAAGAUAAAUUCCAUCAGUUAUAAUGGUUGGUGGACGUGGUCGUGGUCGUCGAGGACAGGUUCCGAUUGAGGAAGUCCCGCACCGUGAUCGUAAUAUUCAGGAUGUGACGAUUGAAGAUUUGCAGAGAUAAGUUGCGAAGUUAACCCAACGUUUGGCGGAGCAAGAGUUCGGUAAUCAUGAUGUAGAAGGUCACGAUUUCGAUACCAGUUUCGAAAAUCUGUAUCACCAUCGUGCUCGAGUUUGGGAGCAUCGUGGACGGGAGGAUCGUCAUGUGGACUUCGAUUUCAGAGUGGAUCUGCCCGAGUUUUCUGGUACGUUGCAGGCUGAAGGAUUUAUUGAUUGGCUGAAUGAAGUGGAGCGGAUUUUAGAAUAUAAGGAGGUUCCAGAUCGUGUCAAAGUGAAACUGGUCGCCAUCAAACUCAAAGGUAGGGCAUCUGCAUGGUGGGAACAGUUGAAGCGUUCACGGGAGCGACAGGGGAAAUCCAAAAUUACUAACUGGGAGAAGAUGAAGAAGAAGAUGAAAUGGCACUUCCUCCCUUUCGGCUAUACUCAAACCUUGUUUCAGAGGCUUCAUUCACUAAGGCAAGGCGCAAGAUCAGUCAAUGAUUAUACUGAAGAAUUCUAUCAGUUGGUAGCUCGGAAUGAUUUAUCUGAGACGGAGAAGCAGAUGGUAGCACUGUAUUUGGGGGGAUUAAGGCAGCCCCGACAGGAUGUUCUCAGCCUUCAUUCAUUGUGGACAGUUUCUGAGGCAUAUCAGCGAGCACUUUCAAUAGAGAAACAGCAAAGUAGGAGGCCAGUGGUCAGAGGUGAAGGAAGUCAGCCAGUUCGCCCUCAAGAAUCUCGUCCUGCUUAUCAGCCACAGCGGGAUAGUUCCACCUCAAGUAUUAAGUACUUUAGGUGUGGUAAACAGGGGCAUAGGACGACUGAUUGCAGGAAGCCUGCUGGUUAGAAGAAUAAAAAUCUUCUAAUUGAGGAGGAUAUGAUAGAGGAGUUCGAGGAAGUUGGGGAACCCGUGUAUGAUGAGGGUGAAGAUGAGAACGUGCUAUAUGGAGAUGGUCAGGAGACCCUGGUCGUUCGAAAGAGCCUGCUGACUCCCAAGGGCGACUCAAGGGAUGAUUGGUUGAGGACCAACGUUUUCCACACAACCUGCAUAGUUGCUGAUAAAGUCUGUAAGCUGAUAAUUGAUAGUGGCAGUUGUGAGAAUGUAGUGUCUGAGGAGGCUAUCGAGAAACUGCAACUGAAGAUGGAUCGUCAUCCCAAACCAUACAAGUUGUCUUGGCUGAAUAAAGGCAGUGAGGUAACGGUAGAAAAACGAUGCUUAUUGUCUUUCUCGAUUGGAAAAAAAUAUUUUGAUAAUGCUUGGUGUGAUGUGGUAUCAAUGGACGCGUGUCAUGUUUUGUUGGGACGACCUUGGCAGUAUGAUCGCAGUGUUAUCCAUGAUGGGCGAAAGAAUACUUAUUCUCUUAGCAUUAAAGGGAAGAGAAUUGUUUUGGUGCCUCGCAGGGAAGGAAACAUCCCUCCCCAGUAGUUAAAAACCCCAAUCUACAUUCUAUGUCCAGGUUUUUGGUUGAGGUUGGGCGUAAAAAAAAUAGUUUAUGCUUUAAUGCCUCAUGAAAAUAGUACAGCGAAUGUGGAUUCAGAAUUUCCAGCAGAAGUACAGCAACUACUGAUGGAGUUUUCUAACUUGAUGCCGGAGGAUCUUCCUCCAGGACUGCCACCUAUGAGGGACAUUCAACAUCAGAUUGACCUAAUUCCGGGGUCGAGUCUACCAAACCGACCAGCAUAUCGCCUCAAUCCAAAGGAAGCUGAAGAGUUGCAGCGACAGGUGGUAGAAUUAUUGGAAAGGGGCUACAUUCGUGAGAGUAUGAGUCCUUGUGCAGCUUCUGCUCUACUAGUGCCGAAGAAAGAUGGGUCAUGGCAUAUGUGUGUUGACAGCAGGGCAAUUAACAGGAUUACAGUGAAGUACAGGUUUCCAAUUCCCCGUCUGGACAACAUGUUGGAUCAAUUGUCCGGUUCUAAGGUCUUCUCAAAAAUUGACCUUAAAAGUGGAUACCACCAGAUCAGAAUCAGGCCUGGAGAUGAGUGGAAGACCGCGUUCAAGACACAGCAUGGGUUGCAUGAGUGGAUGGUCAUGCCCUUUGGACUAUCCAACGCACCCAGCACUUUUAUGAGGUUUAUGCAUCAGGUUUUACGGCCUUUCAUGGGAAAGUUUGUGGUAAUUUAUGUUGGUGACAUACUUAUUUAUAGUCUGACAUGGGAAUCACAUUUUAAUCAUCUUCGUACUGGCUUUGAUGUAAUGAGGACGGAGCGCUUAUUCAUCAAUCAGAAUAAGUGUUCUUUCUUCACAACUUCUGUAACUUUUUUGGGUUUUGUUGUGUCUACUGAUGGUGUUCAUGCAGAUCAAUCCAAAAUUGAGGCAGUUUUGAAUUGGCCGAAACCAAAAACUUUGCACGAUGUCAGGAGUUUCCAUGGAUUGGCAUCCUUCUAUCGUCGAUUCAUCAAAAACUUUAGUACCUUGAUUGCUCCUAUCACAGAGUGCCCUAAAGGGCGUGAUUUUCAAUGAACUGAGGAGGCAGAGGCUAGCUUUCAGUUGGUUAAGUAGAAGAUGACGGAGGCCCCAGUCUUGGCACUUCCAAAUUUCGAAAAGUUGUUCGAGGUAAACUGUGAUGCGUCUGGAGUUGGUAUUGGUGGUGUUCUGAGUCAGGAGGGACGUCCAGUAGCCUUUUUUAGUGAGAAGCUAUCGGGAUCGAAGAAAAAUUAUUCCACUUAUGACCUGGAGUUCUAUGCCAUAGUUCAGACUCCGAAGCAUUGGCGACAUUACCUGGUACAGAGGGAGUUCAUCCUUGUUAUUGAUCAUGAGGCUUUGAAGUACAUCAAUGGUCAGCACAAGCUGAGUAGGCGACAUGCAAAGUCGGUGGCGUACUUGCAGGAGUUUACUUUCACACUCAGGCAUCAAGCAGGGAGUUUGAAUCGAGUAGCAGAUGCAUUGAGCCAUCGCACAUUACUCCUCACCACCAUGAGCACCAAGAUUGUCGGAUUUGAGGCAUUUCCUGAUAUGUAUGCUGCGGAUCCUUCAUUUGGGAAGAUAAUUCGGGAGGUAACUGAUAAUCACCGACAUGAUUUUGUUUUACAUAAUGGUUACCUGUUUCAUGGAUUGCAGUUAUGCAUUUCGGAUUGUUCACUAUGGCAGCAGAUUAUUAGUGAACUUCAUAACGAAGGACAUUUUGGGCGAGACAAGACAUUGACAUUGGUCUCUUCUGAUUAUUACUGGCCCAAGUUGAGCAGUGAUGUGGCGCAUUAUGUGGAGCGGUGUUAUGUAUGUCAGCGGUCUAAAGGGGCUCUUACUAAUGAUGGAUUGUACACACCAUUACCCGUACCUGAAGCUCCUUGGUUUGAUGUCAGUAUGGAUUUUGUCUUGGGCUUAACUCGUACAUAGUGGGCGAUGGAUUCCAUUCUUGUUGUGGUUGACAGAUUUUCAAAGAUGGCUCAUUUUGUGGCUUGCCGGAAGACAAUGGAUGCUACUCGGAUUGCUCAUCUUUAUUUUAGAGAGAUUGUGCGUUUACAUGUGUUCCACAGUCAAUUACUUUUGAUCGUGACACUAAGUUUAUGAGUCAUUUCUGGAGGAGUUUGUGGGAGAAACUUGGAACGAAAUUGAAUUUUAGCAGCGCAUACCAUCCCCAAACAGAUGGUCAGACUGAGCUGGUAAAUCAGAGUUUGGGAAAUCUUUUGAGAAGCUUAGCCGGGACUAAACCGAAGCAGUGGGAUUUGGCAUUACCUCAAGUAGAGUUUGCUUAUAAUCGGUCGAGGAAUAGAACCACCGGACUGAGUCCUUUUGAAAUUGUAUAUGGUCGAAACCAAUCCGGAGUACUUGAUUUGGCUCCAAUUCCAUGUGUGGGUCGCUUCAAUAACAAAGCUGAUGAGAUGGCUGAACAUCUUCAAGGUAUUCAUGAGCUGGUGAAGUUGUCCAUACAGGAUAGUAAUACUAGGUACAAAGUUCGGGCAGAUAGUCAUCGACGCCAGGUGUUGUUUGAUGUUGGGUGAUUUUGUUUGGGCAGUAUUAACUCGUGAUCGUUUUCCAGCUGGGGAAUACAAUAAGCUAAAGGAGCGAAAGAUUGGACCUUGUGAAGUGCUGCAGAAGAUCAAUGAUAAUGCUUACAGAUUGUGCCUCCCAAGCCAUUUGAAGACCUCUGACGUCUUCAAUGUAAAACACCUAAGCCCUUGUUUUGUGGAGUCCGAUGAAGUUACUGUGAACUCGAGGGCGAGUUCUUUCCAACUCGGGGCGACUGAUGCAGGAGGAUUCGAGUCGAGUGAUGCUGAUUUGUCAGAUAGCACGAUGAUGGCACUGAGAUACCAUGAGAUGGCGGAUCGGCGCAAAGAUGGAAAGUGAAUCACCAUUAUUUCCUUAAUUGGGGGAAUUUGACGCGUCUUUGGUAAUUUGGCCAUAACUUUGGCUAUGGUUAUCGGUAUCGCUAUUGUAACCCUAAUCCGAAAAGUUCUCUUCGGCGCGCACGUCGUGGCCAUCCAGCUAUGCUCGAUGGACAUCAAUUUCGAGCCCAAAAUCCAUUGUUUUCCUUUCCAAAAUUCAAUUUUAAAUUAUUUUUUACUAUUUAUGGUAAUAUUUCGUUUCCUUUUUUUCCAUAUGUUAGAAAACUCGAAUUGAGCCAAAUUUUUGGCAACUUACUUCUUUUACUUAAUAUUUUAUUUUGGUAUAAUUUUGGGAUUUUGCCAUUUUUGGUAAUUUUCCCAUAAUUUCGUAUUUCGCAGCUAUUUAACCCGGCUUGUGAGUUAGUUUUGAUCAUGUUGCAUUAUUAAUAAUAUUGAGUUGAAUUCAGAGUAUUUUCUCUGGUUUUUUGGGCGUUUUCUGUCGUUCUUUUCUUGCGAAUCAUCUGCUACAACAAGCCAAUAGGAUAAUCACUAUCCUACCCGGCGUCAAAACCCUACAUAAAGGGAGCUUAUGCACUG
rnacentral:lncRNA from 1 species